GAACGCUGGCGGCGUGCUAAUACAUGCAAGUCGAGCGAACAGACGAGGAGCUUGCUCCUCUGACGUUAGCGGCGGACGGGUGAGUAACACGUGGAUAACCUACCUAUAAGACUGGGAUAACUUCGGGAAACCGGAGCUAAUACCGGAUAAUAUAUUGAACCGCAUGGUUCAAUAGUGAAAGACGGUUUUGCUGUCACUUAUAGAUGGAUCCGCGCCGCAUUAGCUAGUUGGUAAGGUAACGGCUUACCAAGGCGACGAUGCGUAGCCGACCUGAGAGGGUGAUCGGCCACACUGGAACUGAGACACGGUCCAGACUCCUACGGGAGGCAGCAGUAGGGAAUCUUCCGCAAUGGGCGAAAGCCUGACGGAGCAACGCCGCGUGAGUGAUGAAGGUCUUCGGAUCGUAAAACUCUGUUAUUAGGGAAGAACAAAUGUGUAAGUAACUAUGCACGUCUUGACGGUACCUAAUCAGAAAGCCACGGCUAACUACGUGCCAGCAGCCGCGGUAAUACGUAGGUGGCAAGCGUUAUCCGGAAUUAUUGGGCGUAAAGCGCGCGUAGGCGGUUUUUUAAGUCUGAUGUGAAAGCCCACGGCUCAGCCGUGGAGGGUCAUUGGAAACUGGAAAACUUGAGUGCAGAAGAGGAAAGUGGAAUUCCAUGUGUAGCGGUGAAAUGCGCAGAGAUAUGGAGGAACACCAGUGGCGAAGGCGACUUUCUGGUCUGUAACUGACGCUGAUGUGCGAAAGCGUGGGGAUCAAACAGGAUUAGAUACCCUGGUAGUCCACGCCGUAAACGAUGAGUGCUAAGUGUUAGGGGGUUUCCGCCCCUUAGUGCCGCAGCUAACGCAUUAAGCACUCCGCCUG
rnacentral:rRNA from 1 species